rnacentral:rRNA from 1 species
GACGAACGCUGGCGGCGCGCUUAACACAUGCAAGUCGAGCGAGAACCCAGGCUUCGGCCUGGGGGAAAGCGGCGAACGGGUGAGUAACACGUGGGUAAUCUGCCCUCGGCAUCGGGAUAGCCCGGGGAAACCCGGAUUAAUACCGGAUGGCCCGACAGCUCUUCGGAGCGGUCGGAAAAGGUAGCUUCGGCCUCCGGCCGAGGAGGAGCCCGCGGCGGAUUAGCUUGUUGGUGAGGUAACGGCUCACCAAGGCUCCGAUCCGUAGCUGGUCUGAGAGGACGAUCAGCCACACUGGGACUGAGACACGGCCCAGACUCCUACGGGAGGCAGCAGUGGGGAAUCUUCCACAAUGGGCGCAAGCCUGAUGGAGCAACGCCGCGUGAAUGAAGAAGGUCUUCGGAUCGUAAAGUUCUGUUAUUAGAGAAGAACACGUGUAAGAGUAACUGAUUAUGCGUUGACGGUAUCUAAUCAGCAAGUCACGGCUAACUACGUGCCAGCAGCCGCGGUAACAC